CGGCCCAGACUCCUACGGGAGGCAGCAGUGGGGAAUCUUGCGCAAUGGGCGAAAGCCUGACGCAGCGACGCCGCGUGGGUGACGAAGGCCUUCGGGUCGUAAAACCCUGUUGCAGGGGACGAAGGAAGUGACGGUACCCUGCCAGAAAGCCCCGGCUAACUACGUGCCAGCAGCCGCGGUAAAACGUAGGGGGCGAGCGUUGUCCGGAAUUACUGGGCGUAAAGGGCUCGUAGGCGGUAACUCAAGUCAGUUGUGAAAACCGACGGCUUAACCGGAGGAUUGCAGUUGAUACUGAGUUACUUGAGGCAAGGAGAGGAAGGUGGAAUUCCCGGUGUAGCGGUGAUAUGCGUAGAUAUCGGGAGGAACCCCAGUGGCGCAAGGCGGCCUUCUGGUCUUGACCUGACGCUGAGGAGCGAAAGCCAGGGUAGCGAACGGGAUUAGAUACCCCGGUAGUCCUGGCUGUAAACGAUGGACACUAGGUGUAGGUGGUAUCAA
rnacentral:rRNA from 1 species